GGGGAUGUACUGGUUUUGACAGCAAUGAUGUCGGACUGUAAGCACGCCGGGCGUGGGGAAUUGGCCCGUUAAUCCCAGUUCUCAAAAAAUUAGUAGGCAACUACAAUUAUUCUUACGCUUGCUAAUCCGUAGUCGGAUUCAGCAUUAAUCAGCGCCGCCAAGGCUGCGGCACUGACGUAUAUCCCGCCAGCUUUCCGCCGGUUAUGCCUGGAGCCCGGGGUAUCAUUCAAACCGGAUGCACGGAGGGACUCCUUUCAACUCCGCCAAGACCCAAAGGAUAAGCGUCAGUUCGCCCGCCCUCCGGCAGGCUGCCGCCGACAACCAAAGGAAGGAUAAGCGUGUAGAAAGCACUUCGGUGCGUUGUUUGGACGGCGGUUCGACUCCGCCCAUCUCCACGA
rnacentral:tmRNA from 1 species